UGUUGUUGUGUUCUGUACUAGACUCUAAAAGGUUAAUGCGAGCUUAUGGGCCUUAGAGCAUGUCCAUUGCAGGGACCUUACAAGUUUUUUAAGAGAAUUCUAAUGGAAAGAAGCAAAAAAAAAAAAAAAAAUUGUCUAAUUAACCAAGGUGCGAACCUUGAAUAAGGUAUUUUUGGGUGAGUAAGGUUCGCUGACGUGGCACUAUAUCAUUGGAGGACCAAUAAAACAAAACAAGUUUUUUUUCUUUUUUCUUUCUCUCCUCUCUCUUGGUUUCGUAUAGAGUUUCUAGGCUUUGGUUUAUGUUCAAAUUUGUGUUUGAUCUGUUGGUUUUUAAGAUAAAAAUGUGACCAUUUUGCUGCUUAUUCACUUCUCAUUAGCAUUACAACGGAUUGGUGACACAAAAUAAUUGGUUCUAGGUUUAUGUUUAUGCUCUUUUGUUUGCUCAUUUAGUUGAUGUUAUCAAAUAAUUGGUUCUCGGUACGUGCUUUCAUUUAAGUUCAUGACAGUGUCUUGAGCUGGAGAUAGAUUAUUCUAUGUUUUUCCUUUGGUGACAAUUUCAUUAAUAGACCUCUCAUCUUGGACUUUAGUUUCCUCUUGUAAGCCUUUUGAUUUGUAUUCUUUUUCUCUUUUUUUUUUGCUUUUAUGUCAUCAUAUAUGUUUACAAUUUGUAAUAUUUUCUAAUAACUUUUAAGUUUUAUCAAAU
rnacentral:sRNA from 1 species